UUUUUUUUUUUUUUUUUUUUCCCAAGUAAAAACAAACUCAUAACUGACAUCGCAAAUGCAAAGAGAAAUCUAUCAAUCACUCAUCUCUUAAAAAUGAACUCCCACGGGUGAUGUAUAAAUUUUUCAUAAGGAAAUCAAUUAUCAAAGAACCCUCCAAUAUUGAUGAAGCGACUCUCCAGAGAGCAGGUGACACACGAUGGGGAUCACAUUAUGGAUCACUAUUGAAUCUUUUAAUGAUGUUUGCCUCUUUCAUUGAUACACUUGAGAUACUUAUGGAGGAAGGCAUAAAUUCUAAGCAAAGAGGUGAAGCAUGUCACCUUCAUGAUUCAAUACAAAGUUUUGAAUUAGUUUUGAAUUUGCAUUUGAUGAAAAAACUACUCGGAAUUGCAAAUGAAUUAUUUCAAGCUUUGCAAAGAAGAGAUCAAGGCAUCAUCAAUGCAAUAGCCUUAGUAGAAGUGUCCAAACGAUGACUACAGAUAAUGAGAAAUGAUGGAUAGGAACCUUUGCUUUCUGAAAUUUUUUCAUUUUGUGAAAGCCACCAUAUAAUUAUUCUAAAAAUGGAUGAUAUAUUUAUAAUUCGAGCAAGACCACAGUGUAAUGCUCAACAAGUGACAAAUAUGCAUCAUUACAGGAUAGAAAUAUUUUAUACUGUGAUAGACAUGCUACUUCAAGAGCUCAAAAAUCGCUUCACUGAGGUGAAUAUUGAUAUACUUUGUGUGGCAUGUUUGAAUCCAAGUGAUUCUUUUCGUCGUUUUGAUAAGCGAAAAUUGAUUUCUCUUGCUCAUUUUUAUCUA